GGAUGAGGUACGCUGUAGUCAUAUGCUUGUCUCAAAGAUUAAGCCAUGCAUGUCUAAGUAUAAGCAAUUUAUACAGCGAAACUGCGAAUGGCUCAUUAAUUCAGUUAUGAUCUACACGGCAUCAAAUCUACCACCUGGAUAACCGUGGUAAUUCUAUAGCUAAUACAUGCGAGAGAAAUGGCGACUUCGGAAGCCAUGCAGUUAUUAGAUACAAGCCAACUUGGGGUAAAACCCAGUUUUGGUGACUCAUAGUAACAUGCCGAUCGAAUUGUGUCGACAGCACGUUUGAUUUUCUGCCCUAUCAUGGCUCUGUGUACGGUAGUGGCGUACACUGGCAGCAACGGGUAACGGGGAAUGAUAGAGCGUUUU
rnacentral:rRNA from 1 species